rnacentral:rRNA from 1 species
CAGUAGCCGCGGUAAUACGGAGGGUGCAAGCGUUAAUCGGAAUUAUUGGGCGUAAAGCGCACGCAGGCGGUCUGACAAGUCAGAUGUGAAAUCCCCGGGCUUAACCUGGGAACUGCAUUUGAAACUGUCAGGCUGGAGUCUUGUAGAGGGGGGUGGAAUUCCAGGUGUAGCGGUGAAAUGCGUAGAGAUCUGGAGGAAUACCGGUGGCGAAGGCGGCCCCCUGGACAAAGACUGACGCUCAGGUGCGAAAGCGUGGGGAGCAAACAGGAUUAGAUACCCGCGUAGUCCCUGUCUCUUAUAC